ACCUGCCCAUUGGAAUCUAAAAGGCCGCGGUAUUAUGACCGUGCUAAGGUAGCAUAAUCAUUAGUCUUUUAAUUGGAGGCUGGUAUGAAUGGUUGGACAAGAAAUAAGCUGUCUUAAAUAAAAAUAUUGAAUUUAACUUUUAAGUGAAAAGGCUUAAAUUUUCUAAGGGGACGAUAAGACCCUAUAAAACUUUAUAUUUUAAAAUAAUAAUUAAUUUUUAUAUAGAAGAUUUAUUUUUAAAUAUUUUAUUGGGGUGAUAAAGAUAAAAUGUGAGAUAACUGUCUUUUUUUUUUUACAAUUAAUAUUUGAGUAAAAGAUCCUAACAAAGGAAAUAAGAGAUUAAGUUACUUUAGGGAUAACAGCGUAAUUUUCUUUAAGAGUUCUUAUCGACAAGAAAGUUUGCGACCUCGAUGUUGAAUUAAAAGUUCUUUAUAGAGUAGAUAUUAUAAUAGAGGGUCUGUUCGACCCUUAAAAUUUUACGUG
rnacentral:rRNA from 1 species